rnacentral:misc_RNA from 1 species
GAUGAAGAACGUAGCGAAAUGCGAUAAGUAGUGUGAAUUGCAGAAUUCAGUGAAUCAUCGAAUCUUUGAACGCACAUUGCGCCCUUUGGUAUUCCUUAGGGCAUGCCUGUUCGAGCGUCAUUUCAACCAUCAAGCCCCAGCGCUUGUGUUGGGGGCCUGCGGCUGCCGCAGCCCCCUAAAAGCAGUGGCGGGCUCGCUAUCACACCGAGUGCAGUAGUUCAUCUUCUCUCCGGUCUUGUGAGGCGGGUUCCGGCCGUGAAACACCCCACUACAUUCAAGGUUGACCUCGGAUCAGGUAGGAAUACCCGCUGAACUUAAGCAUAUCAAUAAGCGGAGGA